AUUGAACGCUGGCGGCAGGCUUAACACAUGCAAGUCGAGCGGGGGAAGGUAGCUUGCUACCGGACCUAGCGGCGGACGGGUGAGUAAUGCUUAGGAAUCUGCCUAUUAGUGGGGGACAACAUCUCGAAAGGGAUGCUAAUACCGCAUACGUCCUACGGGAGAAAGCAGGGGAUCUUCGGACCUUGCGCUAAUAGAUGAGCCUAAGUCGGAUUAGCUAGUUGGUGGGGUAAAGGCCUACCAAGGCGACGAUCUGUAGCGGGUCUGAGAGGAUGAUCCGCCACACUGGGACUGAGACGCGGCCCAGACUCCUACGGGAGGCAGCAGUGGGGAAUAUUGGACAAUGGGGGGAACCCUGACCCAGCCAUGCCGCGUGUGUGAAGAAGGCCUUAUGGUUGUAAAGCACUCUAAGCGAGGAGGAGGCUACUCUAGUUAAUACCUAGGGAUAGAGGACGUUACUCGCAGAAUAAGCACCGGCUAACUCUGUGCCAGCCGCCGCCGUAA
rnacentral:rRNA from 1 species